GAUGAACGCUGGCGGCGUGCCUAAUACAUGCAAGUCGAGCGAACAGAUAAUGAUCUUGCUCCUUUUACGUUAGCGGCUGACGUGUGAGUAACACGUGGUUAACCUACCUAUAAUACUGGAAUAACUCCGGGAAACCGGUGCUAAUGCCGUAUAACAUUUAGAACCGCAUGGUUCUAAAGUGAAUGUUGGUUUUGCUAUCUCUUAUAGAUGUACCCGCGCCGUAUUAGCUAGUUGGUAAGGUAACGGCUUACCAAGGCAACGAUACGUAGCCGACCUGAGAGGGGGAACGGCAACACGGGAACUGAGAAACGGACAAGAAAAAUACGGGAGGCAGCAGAAGGGAAUAUGACGCAAUGGGCGAAAGCAUGAAGGAGCAAAGCAGAGUGAGAGAUGAAGGAGUUCGGAUCGUAAAACACUGUUAGUAGGGAAGAAAAAAAGUGGAAGAAAAAGUGCACGGAAUGACGGUAACGAAAAAGAAAGCAACGGCUAACUACGUG
rnacentral:rRNA from 1 species